AGGCCUAACACAUGCAAGUCGAGGGGCAUCACGAGGUAGCAAUACUUUGGUGGCGACCGGCGCACGGGUGCGUAACGCGUAUGUAACCUACCUAUAACAGGGGCAUAACACUGAGAAAUUGGUACUAAUUCCCCAUAAUAUUCGGAGAGGCAUCUCUCCGGGUUGAAAACUCCGGUGGUUAUAGAUGGACAUGCGUUGUAUUAGCUAGUUGGUGAGGUAACGGCUCACCAAGGCAACGAUACAUAGGGGGACUGAGAGGUUAACCCCCCCACACUGGUACUGAGACACGGACCAGACUCCUACGGGAGGCAGCAGUGAGGAAUAUUGGUCAAUGGACGCAAGUCUGAACCAGCCAUGCCGCGUGCAGGAAGACGGCUCUAUGAGUUGUAAACUGCUUUUGUACGAGGGUAAACUCACCUACGUGUAGGUGACUGAAAGUAUCGUACGAAUAAGGAUCGGCUAACUCCGUGCCAGCAGCCGCGGUAAUACGGAGGAUUCAAGCGUUAUCCGGAUUUAUUGGGUUUAAAGGGUGCGUAGGCGGUUUGAUAAGUUAGAGGUGAAAUCCCGGGGCUUAACUCCGGAACUGCCUCUAAUACUGUUAGACUAGAGAGUAGUUGCGGUAGGCGGAAUGUAUGGUGUAGCGGUGAAAUGCUUAGAGAUCAUACAGAACACCGAUUGCGAAGGCAGCUUACCAAACUAUAUCUGACGUUGAGGCACGAAAGCGUGGGGAGCAAACAGGAUUAGAUACCCUGGUAGUCCACGCAGUAAACGAUGAUAACUCGUUGUCGGCGAUACACAGUCGGUGACUAAGCGAAAGCGAUAAGUUAUCCACCUGGGGAGUACGUUCACAAGAAUGAAACUCAAAGGAAUUGAUGGGGGCCCGCACAAGCGGAGGAACAUGUGGUUUAAUUCGAUGAUACGCGAGGAACCUUACCCGGGCUUGAAAGUUACUGACGAUUCUGGAAACAGGAUUUCCCUUUGGGGCAGGAAACUAGGUGCUGCAUGGUUGUCGUCAGCUCGUGCCGUGAGGUGUCGGGUUAAGUCCCAUAACGAGCGCAACCCCUACCGUUAGUUGCCAUCAGGUCAAGCUGGGCACUCUGGCGGGACUGCCGGUGUAAGCCGAGAGGAAGGUGGGGAUGACGUCAAAUCAGCACGGCCCUUACGUCCGGGGCUACACACGUGUUACAAUGGUAGGUACAGAGGGUCGCUACUCCGUGAGGAGAUGCCAAUCUCGAAAGCCUAUCUCAGUUCGGAUUGGAGGCUGAAACCCGCCUCCAUGAAGUUGGAUUCGCUAGUAAUCGCGCAUCAGCCAUGGCGCGGUGAAUACGUUCCCGGGCCUUGUACACACCGCCCGUCAAGCCAUGGAAGCUGGGGGUGCCUGAAGUUCGUGACCGCAAGGAGCGACCUAGGGCAAAACCGGUAACUGGGGCUAAGUCAUAACAAG
rnacentral:rRNA from 1 species